GAUGAACGCUAGCGGGAGGCCUAACACAUGCAAGCCGAGCGGUAGAGUUUCUUCGGAAACUUGAGAGCGGCGCACGGGUGCGUAACACGUGUGCAACCUACCUUUAUCUGGGGGAUAGUCUUUCGAAAGGAAGAUUAAUACCCCAUAAUAUAAUGAUUGGCAUCAAUUAUUAUUGAAAACUCCGGUGGAUAGAGAUGGGCACGCGCAAGAUUAGAUAGUUGGUGAGGUAACGGCUCACCAAGUCAAUGAUCUUUAGGGGUCCUGAGAGGGAGAUCCCCCACACUGGUACUGAGACACGGACCAGACUCCUACGGGAGGCAGCAGUGAGGAAUAUUGGACAAUGGGUGAGAGCCUGAUCCAGCCAUCCCGCGUGAAGGAUGACGGUCCUAUGGAUUGUAAACUUCUUUUGUACAGGGAUAAACCUACUCUCGUGAGGGUAGCUGAAGGUACUGUACGAAUAAGCACCGGCUAACUCCGUG
rnacentral:rRNA from 1 species